AUGCAUACGCGCGUACCGGUCAAUUUCGUUUUCGAGAGCGCAUCGAUUGGUAUUUUUCCCGAUCCGAAACAAAUUGCCCCCCAACCUUGUGAGCUGGAUUUUUCUUUGCUUUUUUUGUGGGCUAACACUUCUUCGGUCAGUUGCAGUGUUGAUCACUGUGUCAGAUGCGAAAUUUCGUUCGGAUUAUCACUUUUUUUGCAAUUUUAUUUUACAGAUGAUGUGAAGUCAGCAACGCAGCAACCACCGAAAGGAGAAAUUGCGGAGGGAUGCGCGGCAGAUGAUUUCAACGCGCCCCCAUGUGAUUCCACCAAGGAAGUUUCCACAAAGAACCUGGGACGUCUUAGAAAGCGAACAGCUGCUGGCGGUGCUGCAACUUCUGAGUUGCAUGAGGAUGAGCUAAAGGUUGCUGAUGUCAAGCUGAGCAAUGAUGAAGACUGGUCAUAA
rnacentral:rRNA from 1 species